rnacentral:rRNA from 1 species
UACGUAGGGGGCAAGCGUUGUCCGGAAUCAUUGGGCGUAAAGAGCGUGUAGGCGGCUUGGUAAGUCCGCUGUGAAAUUCCAGGGCUCAACCCUGGAAAGCCGGUGGAAACUGUCAAGCUUGAGUCCGGAAGAGGCGAGUGGAAUUCCUGGUGUAGCGGUGAAAUGCGCAGAUAUCAGGAGGAACACCAAUGGCGAAGGCAGGUCUCUGGGCAGUAACUGACGCUGAGGAGCGAAAGCAUGGGGAGCGAACAGG